AGAGAGAGAUUUGGAAGAAGAAAUCGAUGAUUCUGAAUCCCUAAUUCUGAUUUUGUUAAAUCUAUGAAGGAACAGAUGCAGGAUCUGCUGAUAUCAUCACUUUUUUUGUAGAACAAUUCCUCUCUCUCUAUCAAGGGAUCCAAAAAGGAGGAGUAGGGAAGGGUUGAGUCUGAACCCUUAGGGUGGUAGUGGUAGUAAUCAAAGGUGGAGAAGGACAUUGGGAGG
rnacentral:lncRNA from 1 species